UCUACGGGUGGCAGCAGUGAGGAAUAUUGGUCAAUGGCCGGAAGGCUGAACCAGCCAAGUCGCGUGAGGGAAUAAGGCCCUAUGGGUCGUAAACCUCUUUUGUCAGGGAGCAAAGGCGUCCACGUGUGGACGAGAGGAGAGUACCUGAAGAAAAAGCAUCGGCUAACUCCGUGCCAGCAGCCGCGGUAAUACGGAGGAUGCGAGCGUUAUCCGGAUUUAUUGGGUGUAAAGGGCGUGUAGCCGGGCUGACAAGUCAGAUGUGAAAUCCGGGGGCUCAACCCCCGAACUGCAUGUGAAACUGUUGGUCUUGAGUAUCGGAGAGGCAGGCGGAAUUCCUGGUGUAGCGGUGAAAUGCGUAGAUAUUAGGAGGAACACCAGUGGCGAAGGCGGCCUGCUGGACGACAACUGACGGUGAGGCGCGAAAGCGUGGGGAGCAAACAGGAUUAGAUACCCCAGUAGUC
rnacentral:rRNA from 1 species